rnacentral:lncRNA from 1 species
GUCUUUAGUCAUUCCAUGUGAAGCAAGAAAGUUGGCAAGCUAGCUUGAGCCAGGUUGCAUGUAAACAUGUACGUACACUACUACUGAGAUCGUAGCCUAUGUUCCGUACUGCGUGCGAAAUGCCUUUGGACAUGCAUGCCAAUUGCCUCAUACAAGUUAAUUUCGUUUUUUGUCAGUGAGGUCAACAUCAAUCCCAAGGAUGAAGUCACAUUAGCAUCGAGUCACUGCAUUGCUUACUUGCAUGCAUGACUCAUCCUAUCUUCAGAUAUAGAUCCCUGCAGUAUUUUAAUCAUGUGACUGCAGUUUGUUAUCUCGCAACACUAACAUCGUGGGGUGGAGCAUCUGAAGAUGGUUUGCAUGUCAUGGGAUAUAUAUAUCAUGGCCGAUAGUAGAUGGCCAUGACCGGGACAUCAUUUGGGGGCAUCGUGAUUUGGUGGUGCUUGUUGGUUACUGGUUUCUUGACUCGAGGAGAAACCAACACGCAUGGCCUUAUUUGGUUGUACCGAGCAAUGGUGGCGUUGUUAGCAUUUUCUUGUUGAAUACAUUGUCCAUAGUUCGAUGACUUUUCUCCUAUAGUCUGGCCUCUAUGGGUUGUAUGUAUCAUGGCAACGGCUGCGUGCAUUGCAUGUGCAUCAUUUUUUUUUGGAGGUAUUAAUUUUGGAGCCUUCCUCGCAGUCAAAGUGUUGC